GAUGAACGCUGGCGGCGUGCCUAAUACAUGCCAGUAGAACGCUGAAGGAGGAGCUUGCUCUUCUGGAUGAGUUGCGAACGGGUGAGUAACGCGUAGGUAACCUGCCUGGUAGCGGGGGAUAACUAUUGGAAACGAUAGCUAAUACCGCAUGACAACAGUUAUUGCAUGAUAACUGUUUAAAAGGGGCAACUGCUCCACUACCAGAUGGACCUGCGUUGUAUUAGCUAGUUGGUGAGGUAACGGCUCACCAAGGCGACGAUACAUAGCCGACCUGAGAGGGUGAUCGGCCACACUGGGACUGAGACACGGCCCAGACUCCUACGGGAGGCAGCAGUAGGGAAUCUUCGGUAAUGGACGGAAGUCUGACCGAGCAACGCCGCGGGAGUGAAGAAGGUUUUCGGAUCGUAAAGCUCUGUUGUAAGAGAAGAACGAGUGUGAGAGUGGAAAGUUCACACUGUGACGGUAUCUUACCAGAAAGGGACGGCUAACUACGUG
rnacentral:rRNA from 1 species